rnacentral:rRNA from 1 species
AUUGAACGCUGGCGGCAGGCCUAACACAUGCAAGUCGAGCGGAUGAAGGGAGCUUGCUCCUGGAUUCAGCGGCGGACGGGUGAGUAAUGCCUAGGAAUCUGCCUGGUAGUGGGGGAUAACGUCCGGAAACGGGCGCUAAUACCGCAUACGUCCUGAGGGAGAAAGUGGGGGAUCUUCGGACCUCACGCUAUCAGAUGAGCCUAGGUCGGAUUAGCUAGUUGGUGGGGUAAAGGCCUACCAAGGCGACGAUCCGUAACUGGUCUGAGAGGAUGAUCAGUCACAGGGGAAUGGAGACACGGCCAGGCCCCCGACGGGGGGAGGAGGGGGGAAAGAUUGGACAAGGGGCAAAGGCCGGACCCAGCCAGGCGGGGGGUGGAAAGAGGGUCUCUGAAUUGUAAGGCAUUUUAAGUGGGGGGAAGGGGAAGAAAUUUAAUACCUUGUUUUUUGGACGUAACAAAAAAAAAAAGCCCCGGAAACCUUGGGC